GGCGCCUCUGCUGGAGGGGAGGGACUGAGAAAGACAGACGAGCAAAAUAGACACAGUCAGUCCCUAGAGCUGAAGACCUCACUCUCUCCACUGCCUUCCCUGUCUCAGACUUAAAAAAUGUCUCUCCUCUCAUCACGGAUCAAAGCCAUUUUCAUCAUUGCCUUGGUGUUUCCUCUUUAUUCUGAUGCUGGACUGUACACGAUAUUCACCUGGGCGAAAUGAUUGCACCAGAGAAUGGUAUCCAGUCUGUGCCAG